UAUGUAUUUUUAAAUAACUGGAUAUACUGGUAAAAAUAAAACAAAAACAUAUAAUUAAAAAAAAAACAAAAAAGAAGAGAGGAGCAUAUUGACCCACAAACUUUGUUGAGCGGUGUACAUUAUAUAUUUAUGAAGAUAUAUAGGCGGAUUACUGAGGGUAUUUUUUUUAAAUAAUAAACUUAAAAGGCAGAUGUGAUGAAAUUGUAUUAUUGUGUGCAAUAAAUUUUGUUGUUUGUUAUAUAUAAACAAUUUAAAGUUUAAAUUGUUUAAUAUAUAAAAACAUAUGAAAUUUUUGUGAUAAUAAUACCAAAGAAAGCUCUCAAAAACCUAUGGAACGUAAA